UUUCGGUUACUCUAUGAAUCUCUAGAUAAGUCUAUUAUAGAAGACAGAAGACAUCGAUCACGUGGUUUACAAGAAAUAAGCCGGUUGCUGGCUUGAUCUAUUUCCACAAUUCCCCGGCACGUGUAAAUAUCAUACUUCAAUUCGUUUGAGUGCCUUGUUGUAUUAUAGUUUUGCAAAAUUAUUUUCUAUUUUUAUUAAUUGAGCUUUUAUUUGUGUGCUGUUUUAUUCACUUAAAUGCAUUGUGGGUAGUGAACCUGAAAUUAAGCAUUUUGUUGCACUGUGUACUCCCAUCAUGCGUAGGCUAUAUGACAAAUACACUAACUAAUAACAAAAGUUCACAGUUCCACAGAAACCAUAGCUCUUCUCAUAAGGGCUAUAUUGAAAUGUCUCGAUAUGGUUUUGGUUUCGCUCUGUGGGCGCUGUAGGUGUUAUCGAGACUGCUACAUAAGGAGCCGCAAGAGACACGAUAACAGAAACACGUCCCUCGCUCUACUGCUGCGGUCAAAACAAAACUGACUGCAGUUGGUCCAGCGGAUGAUGAAAGAGGAGAGGUUUGAUAAUCCCAUUUACAGCAGCUGCAAUGGUCCAAUGGGCUCCACCGAAGGAGACCGGGAAUCCUUACGGACACCGUGCAACCGAACUCACCUCUCAGGUUCUACAUGCUUAAGAAGAACACAUAUACUACUGCUGUGUGUGUCGUAGUGGGGUGUACUGUGGCUGUCAUAAGUCUGUUUGCCCGAGAACACAUCAAUUGGCACAGAGACAGCAGUCAAAUAAUGAAACCUGUUUGGCAGAGAGAGAAGAGAUCAAGACUCUGAAAUCAGAGAACUACMGCGUUCUACUAAAUAUGAUUUUAAAGCAGGAAGGAUGGAAGCAUAUAAACUCCAGUCUGUACUACAUCUCUACUGAGAUGAAGUCCUGGGAUGAGAGCAGACUUACUGCCAAAGGAAGGGAUUGGACCUGGUGAUCAUAACAGCGAAGAGGAACAGGCCUUUCUCCUUGAAGUGGUCAGUGCAAAGAAAUUGGAGGGAGUCUGGAUUGGUUUUCUCUCCUAACAACACAAAGGAGAUAUCAACAACGGUAAGAGAUUUCACCAUCGAUGGAGAAGUAUGAACGGAGAUUUGAACAUUUAGGGCAUGAAGGAAUCCAACAAUGUUUCUGAUAAUUCCUGUUCUUCUGAUAGGGUGAAGAGAGGUGCGGGGUCAAAAGGCGGACAGGAAGAGGACUGUGCUAAGCUUACGGUCUAUGAGACACCUGCAGUGAGAAGAAGUAACUGGUCGACAAUGUGGGACACAAAAAUACUGGUAUUUGUGAAAAAUACCUGAUGUCAAUACCAUGUAAGCAAGAGAAAACGUGAACUUGUUCUUGUGAAAGGAUUAUACUUGGUUUUAAUGGAGGGAACAACUGCUAGAUUCAACUCCUCUUGCUGUGACAUCCCACAAACACCUAGGGCCAUUCACCCCCCUCCAUGUUGUCUCAACUGUGCUCUUGCUUCGUGCACCGUCUCCUCAGUCACCUAGGUGAGGAGUUGAGCCCCUCUCAUUUUCCAAGAAGCAGCUGUUAGUCAUUCCAGUUAGCCUGGUGAGGGUUGUACCUGAAAUACACAUCUGCACCUUAUAGUAAGAAAGUUCAAAGGGGAGUUUUUCUGUGGUUGGGACCCCCCUGCAUUGUUCCAAUACGCAAAAGCACUUUCAGUCAAUAAGCUUUCUCAGUGAGAGCCUCGGAUUUUAGCCAGCCAGUUUUCAACUGAAGUCAAUGGGCAGAUUGAUUUUAAUUUUUUUUUAACAUUUUUUUAAUGAACAUAAAUAUUUCACAUGAUUUCACGUAAAAACAACAUUUAGUAAAACAUUGUUUUAGAUGAGGAGGCUGAUUGUCCUUCAGAAACUCAAGUCGCGGUAAAGGAGUGACAGGUUACACAGCUCCGAAGGACAAUCCGCCUCCAUCUAUACACAAUGUUUGACUAAAUGUUGUUUUUUGUUUACAUGAAAUGUAAAACAAAAUAUAUUUUUUUAAAUCAAUCUGCCCAUUGACUUCAGUUGAAAAGAGCUAACUGGCUAAAUCUGGCACACAAAAGCAAUGUUGAUUCAUGUUAAAUUAAAUGAAAUGUAGUUUGUGCUACAAGGGUAGGAAACCCUGGCGGGUGCAUUUAGCCAAUCACAGGGCUGAGAUAUAUUCUAUUAGUCCCUGUUAUAUUCCAGGCACAGGGUUACCUACCCCUGUUCUAUGUACAGAAGAGAAUGUGCAAUAUUAUAAAGGAAUACCAGUUUUAUUUUUUUACAUUUUUCAUAUAGUAAAUAAAAAUCCUUUAUUCUAAUUCUUUACGAUACUAUUGUCCCGUGACACCAAAAGUCUGAAUGUGAUUUAAUAUUGGGGCGGCAGGKAACCUAGUGGUUGGACUAGGAACUGAAAGGUUGCUAGAUUGAAUCCCCGAGCUGACAAGGUACAAAUCUGUCGUUCUGCCCCUGGACAAGGCAGU